GUGAAUGUAGCUUAACGGCAAAGCGCCUGCUUGAAAACCAGGAGAUACGUUUGGUUCAACUCCCGUCGUUCACA
rnacentral:tRNA from 1 species